UACAGAGGUGCCAAGCGUUAGGCGGAAUCACUGGGCGUAAAGGGCGCGUAGGCGGCUUUGGCAGUCGGUUUGUGAAAGCCCGGGGCUCAACUCCGGAUCUGCGGUGGGUACGGGCAGACUAGAGUGAUGUAGGGGAGACUGGAAUUCCUGGUGUAGCGGUGAAAUGCGCAGAUAUCAGGAGGAACACCGAUGGCGAAGGCAGGUCUCUGGGCAGUAACUGACGCUGAGGAGCGAAAGCAUGGGGAGCGAACAGG
rnacentral:rRNA from 1 species